rnacentral:rRNA from 1 species
UACGGAGGGUGCAAACGUUGCUCGGAAUCAUUGGGCGUAAAGCGCACGUAGGCGGCCUGAUAAGUCGGGUGUGAAAGCCCUGGGCUCAACCCAGGAAGUGCACUCGAAACUGUCAGGCUUGAAUAUGGAAGAGGGUCGCGGAAUUCCCGGUGUAGAGGUGAAAUUCGUAGAUAUCGGGAGGAACACCAGUGGCGAAGGCGGCGAUCUGGGAACAUACUGACGCUGAGGUGCGAAAGCGUGGGGAGCAAACAGG